CGCCAUCUUUGAAAUUACUUUGAUCACUGUAGCAAUGGUUACUAGUAAGAGGAUGCGGGCUUGACUCAUUGCACAUUCAUACAGACAGUAUUCGAGACGCUGCUGUAAGUUGCUGUUUGAACGAAACAUUUCGAGACUCACACCUCUGCUGGAGAGAUCCUGAUGUGAGAGAUAAGGUGGGAAGGAUUGUGUGGUGUGAUACAGCACCUUUCACCUCCCAUCAUGCGCUGAGAAAAUGGACUAAUUUUGGGCCCAAAGAGAAAGCACGCUCUGCACGCUUAUUGACAGCACAUCUGGGAACACAGGAAACUGGAAACAGAAAAAGACUUUGGCAAGAUGGUUAUUUGCAAGCAGUAACUGUCAAAAAGUCAUGUGCACAGAUGUGAAUGCUCAUUGUGUUAGUGCAAGUGUGAAGUGGUAAGUGCAUUUAUGUGAGUCAGUGUUACUAUAGUUAAUUAAAAAAAAAAAAAAAAAAAAA